GGGGAAUAUUGCACAAUGGGGGAAACCCUGAUGCAGCAACGCCGCGUGAGUGAUGACGGUCUUCGGAUUGUAAAGCUCUGUCUUCAGGGACGAUAAUGACGGUACCUGAGGAGGAAGCCACGGCUAACUACGUGCCAGCAGCCGCGGUAAUACGUAGGUGGCAAGCGUUGUCCGGAUUUACUGGGCGUAAAGGGAGCGUAGGCGGACUUUUAAGUGGGAUGUGAAAUACCCGGGCUUAACUCGGGUGCUGCAUUCCAAACUGGGAGUCUAGAGUGCAGGAGAGGAAAGGAGAAUUCCUAGUGUAGCGGUGAAAUGCGUAGAGAUUAGGAAGAAUACCAGUGGCGAAGGCGCCUUUCUGGACUGUAACUGACACUGAGGCUCGAAAGCGUGGGGAGCAAAC
rnacentral:rRNA from 1 species